GUCGGAGUGGCGGAACAGGCAGACGCGUACGUUUGAGGGGCGUAUGGCAACAGCCGUGGGGGUUCAAGUCCCCCCUCCGACACCA
rnacentral:tRNA from 1 species